rnacentral:rRNA from 1 species
GAUGAACGCUGGCGGCGUGCCUAACACAUGCAAGUCGAGCGAACGGUCCAGAAGUUUGUUUCUUUGUUGUUAGCGGCGGACGGGAGCGUAACCAGUGUACAACCUCCCUAUAAGAAUGGGAUAACUAGGGGACAUCGGAUCUAAUAACGGAUAAUAUUCUGAACCGCAUGGUUCAAUCGUGAUAGUCGGUCUUUCUGACACUUAUAGAUGGUUACGAGCUUCAUUAGCUAGUUGGUAAGGUCACUGAUUAUCAGGGCAACGAAGCAUACCCGACCUGAGAGAGUGGUCGAACACACAGGAGCUGAUACACGGUCCAGACUCCUACGAGAUGCAGCAGAAGGCGAUCUUCCGCAAUGGAGGAAAGUCUGACGAAGCAGCGGCGCGGGAGAGAUGAAGGUGUUCUGGUCGUAAAGCUCUGUAUAUAGGGAAGAACAUAUGUUUAAGUAACUGUGCACAGCGUGACGGUACCUAGUCAGAAAGCCACGGCUAACUACGUG